AUUUCGGGUUAGCGUGUUAGGAAGACACUCAUAUCUGGUGCCCAUCUUCAGCUUAUGUGCUUUUCCAAACUACACAGCACCUGCCUACAGCAGAUUCAUUUUAUGGAGACACAGUGACACACUUCUCCUGCAAUCAUACAUCACAGGUUUAUCUCCCCCAGAGUGCACUUUGGCUCUGAGAGCUACAAGUCAACACAUUUACACUCCUAUAUAAGCAGGUCGGGCCAGCUCUGCCUUCAACUCUGUUCUCCUUUCACUGACAUUUCUAUAACAGGAACUAUAAGAAACAGCAUGAAUAAGCUGCUGGUCCUUUCUGUGCUUGUUGCACUUCUGGCUCUUAGUGCUGAAAGCUUCCGACUCCCCAGAGAGACUGAGGAGGAACAGGGCUCUCUGACUAAAAUCACAGACACCAUCAAGUCCUACUACAGCAAUGCUGUCGACACAGUCUCUGGAUAUGUGGACAGCAUCAAAGGCCUGAAGCUGGAGGAGAAAGCAAAGAAUCUUUACUCGGACACAACCAACAUUGUGAGCACGUACGCCGGCAUCGUGCAAGACCAACUCUACCACUUUUUCCACCACUAGGUACACAACAAAACAACAAACGCGCAACUUCAGUUGACCUUUUUGACAAGAAGCAGAUGAGAGGCUGACAUAGCAUUUGAAAUGAUGAACUUCUUUAGCUCUAUAGACAAAAAAGGUUUGAGUUUCCUCAUCUGAAAGCCUCAAAAUUUGUCAAGAACAGGAUGGAACUGAUGGUGCAAACAAUCCCAUUGUCCAGCAGAGAAAUGCCUUUUGGGGUUGGGAGAAGGAAAAGAUCGGAAUAGAGAAAAAUAUUGCAAAUAACUUUAUUCUCCAUCACCACCUGGGACUAUUCCCGCUUCCCAAAAGUUGACUUAAGUAACCAUUCUCCCACUGAAUGAGUAUUAAUAUUUGUGUCAUAUCUUUAAAUAAAAUAUUUAUACAAAAA